rnacentral:rRNA from 1 species
UACGAAGGGUGCAAACGUUGCUCGGAAUUAUUGGGCGUAAAGCGCACGUAGGCGGCUUAGCAAGUCGGAAGUGAAAUCCCUCGGCUCAACCAAGGAAGUGCUUUCGAAACUGCUGAGCUUGAGUACUUAAGAGGAUCGCGGAAUUCCCGGUGUAGAGGUGAAAUUCGUAGAUAUCGGGAGGAACACCAGUGGCGAAGGCGGCGAUCUGGGAAGAUACUGACGCUGAGGUGCGAAAGCGUGGGUAGCAAACAGG